rnacentral:rRNA from 1 species
UACGUAGGGUCCAAGCGUUGUCCGGAUUUAUUGGGCGUAAAGAGCUCGUAGGCGGUCCGGUAAGUCGGAUGUGAAAACUCAGGGCUCAACCCGGAGACGCCAUCCGAUACUGCUGUGACUUGAGUCUGGUAGGGGAACACGGAAUACCUGGUGUAGCGGUGAAAUGCGCAGAUAUCAGGUGGAACACCGAUGGCGAAGGCAGUGUUCUGGGCCAGUACUGACGCUGAGGAGCGAAAGCGUGGGGAGCAAACAGG